GCCCCUAUAGCUCAGUGGUAGAGCGUUCCACUCGUAACACGUGAUCAUAUCAUGACUUGCGUAAAAGCGACGAAAUGGAGAGGUCCAUCGUUCAAUCCGGUGUGGGGGCA
rnacentral:tRNA from 1 species